GAAAAAAACAACUUUAGCAGAGCCAGCCAAGCUACAAGACCAGGUCCAGCUGCGUUAUUUUUCUGUUGAUACCUCUCUAAGAAGUUCAGUAUGAGUGAAGAGAAGCCUGAGACUGAGCAGGUUGCUGCGGAAGAGGACUCCUCUGACGAGGGCUCUGGGGGAGAGGGCAAAGGAAAGG